rnacentral:misc_RNA from 1 species
CCGAGUGAGGGCCCUCUGGGUCCAACCUCCCACCCGUGUUUAUCGUACCUUGUUGCUUCGGCGGGCCCGCCUCACGGCCGCCGGGGGGCUCACGUCCCCGGGCCCGCGCCCGCCGAAGACACCCUCGAACUCUGUCUGAAGAUAGUAGUCUGAGUGGAAUUAUAAAAUUAUUUAA